rnacentral:rRNA from 1 species
GCCUACGGGACGCAGCAGUGAGGAAUAUUGGUCAAUGGCCGGAAGGCUGAACCAGCCAAGCCGCGUGAAGGACGAAGGUGCCAAGCAUUGUAAACUUCUUUUGUCAAGGGACAAAAUCAGGCUCGAGAGCCUGACCGAGGGUACUUGAAGAAAAAGCAUCGGCUAACUCCGUGCCAGCAGCCGCGGUAAUACGGAGGAUGCGAGCGUUAUCCGGAUUUAUUGGGUUUAAAGGGUGCGUAGGCGGAAUGCCAAGUCAGCGGUAAAAUCGCGGGGCUCAACCUCGCUCCUCCGUUGAAACUGGCGUU